rnacentral:lncRNA from 1 species
GUUUGUUUCAAGUUAAUUUCCAAGCUUUUGUAGAAGCUGGUGAGGUAAAUUAGCUAGAAAAUAAUUCUUGAAGAAAUAUAUUGUAGCUAUAUUAUAUUCUGCUAUGUGAUUUUAGCAUUCCUUCCUUCAUCCCUUUUCUGUUUUUCUCAGGAUGACAAAUAUUUGCUAGUUACCACUGUACAAUACUCCUUAAUUUGAUAGAAUUCUUUUCUUUUAACUUUUUGGAUUUUUUUUAUACGCACAACGGUGAUAAUUGUGCAACAGUUUAGAUUUUUCGCCAAGGAAUUUCUAAGAACAUUAGCCUUAAUUAGAACAAUAUUGAACAUCUCUUUUUGCGUCAAGUUAAAGAAAAAUCAAAUACUUGACAAGCAAUUAAUUUCGGGGGCAACUUCAUAGUAAUUCCUCGUCCCAUUAUAGCGAC